rnacentral:rRNA from 1 species
CCUACGGGUGGCAGCAGUGAGGAAUAUUGGUCAAUGGACGCGAGUCUGAACCAGCCAAGUAGCGUGAAGGAUGACUGCCCUAUGGGUUGUAAACUUCUUUUAUAUGGGAAUAAAAUGUUCCACGUGUGCCUUUUUGUAUGUACCUUAUGAAUAAGGAUCGGCUAACUCCGUGCCAGCAGCCGCGGUAAUACGGAGGAUCCGAGCGUUAUCCGGAUUUAUUGGGUUUAAAGGGAGCGUAGAUGGGUUGUUAAGUCAGUUGUGAAAGUUUGCGGCUCAACCGUAAAAUUGCAGUUGAUACUGGCAGCCUUGAGUACAGUAGAGGUAGGCGGAAUUCGUGGUGUAGCGGUGAAAUGCUUAGAUAUCACGAAGAACUCCGAUUGCGAAGGCAGCUCACUGGAGUGCAACUGACACUGAGGCUCGAAAGUGUGGGUAUCAAACAGGAUUAGAUACCCGUGUAGUC